rnacentral:rRNA from 1 species
AUUGAACGCUGGCGGCAGGCCUAACACAUGCAAGUCGAACGGUAACAGGAAGAAGCUUGCUUCUUUGCUGACGAGUGGCGGACGGGUGAGUAAUGUCGGGGAAACUGCCUGAUGGAGGGGGAUAACUACUGGAAACGGUAGCUAAUACCGCAUAACGUCGCAAGACCAAAGAGGGGGACCUUCGGGCCUCUUGCCAUCGGAUGUGCCCAGAUGGGAUUAGCUAGUAGGUGGGGUAACGGCUCACCUAGGCGACGAUCCCUAGCUGGUCUGAGAGGAUGACCAGCCACACUGGAACUGAGACACGGUCCAGACUCCUACGGGAGGCAGCAGUGGGGAAUAUUGCACAAUGGGCGCAAGCCUGAUGCAGCCAUGCCGCGUGUAUGAAGAAGGCCUUCGGGUUGUAAAGUACUUUCAGCGGGGAGGAAGGGAGUAAAGUUAAUACCUUUGCUCAUUGACGUUACCCGCAGAAGAAGCACCGGCUAACUCCGUG